UAUCUCUGUAGAGUCUGCAUAUCAAUAAGCGGAGGAAAAGAAACUAACUAGGAUUCCCUUAGUAACGGCGAGUGAAGCAGGAAGAGCUCAAAUUUGAAGUCUUCAAGGUUCUACCUUGACGAAUUGUAGUUUAAAGAAGUGUUUUCUGUUGGAGUUUUGGUAAAAGUUCUUUGGAAUAGGACAUCAUAGAGGGUGAGAAUCCCGUAUUUGACCAUUUCUUCCAGCUGUGUGAUACACUUUCAAAGAGUCGGAUUGUUUGGGAAUGCAGUCCAAAAUGGGUGGUAAAUUUCAUCUAAAGCUAAAUAUUGGCGAGAGACCGAUAGCGAACAAGUACCGUGAGGGAAAGAUAGAAAAAGAGAACUUUGAAAAGAGAGUUAAACAGUACGUGAAAUUGUCAAAAGGGAAGCGUUUGACACCAGUGUUGUUUUCUCGAAAAUCAAUUAAAAAUGGCCGGAUUUUGUGUUGUAUUGACCUUAUCAGCUUUCUGCACUUUUUUCUUGUCUUUUUUAAUGCACUUUUCGUUUAACAAGUCAACAUCAAUUUCUUUUGUUGUAAAAGAGUCAUUGGAAGGUGGCUUUCACUUCGGUGAAAGUGUUUAUAGCCUUGUGCCUCUGCAAUCGGAGAGAUUGAGGUCUGCAGCGUAGAUCCUUCUGGAUUAGAUACAUUUGUGCUAAGUUAUAGCUUUUUCAUAGACAACUUGUUGACUAUAUUUAGUCUUGUAGCUUACUCGCUUAUGCUAAUUUUACCUACGCUUAGGAUGUUGAACGCGCACAGAGUCUC
rnacentral:rRNA from 1 species